rnacentral:tmRNA from 1 species
CGACUUCUGUGCAGGGGUGUGCUACCGACCGGUGUCGCAAGACGAUGGCGCUGAAACUCGAAGCGGACUGCGGGCAGACCCGGGGGCAGUACCCGGCGCCUCCACCCUAGCAGCUUGAGCUUAAAGGUCUCAUUCGGUGAGAUUGAGGUUGUCGGAAGGCAAUCUUCCUGAGCUGCUAAGGCGGGGGCGAACCAGGAUCGAUGGUCGCGAAGAAGCUUCGAAUUGUUCCCGGCAUGAUACCGCCGUUAUCGGGUCAAAACCUAAAUGCAAACGAUAAUGUUGCAUUGAACGAAGUGCGCCUCGCGGCGUAACCGUUUCGGGGUUGAGAAGCACCUGGCAACAGAAGCUCUUAUC